rnacentral:rRNA from 1 species
AACGAACGCUGGCGGCAUGCCUAACACAUGCAAGUCGAACGAAGGCUUCGGCCUUAGUGGCGCACGGGUGCGUAACGCGUGGGAAUCUGCCCUUGGGUUCGGAAUAACUCAGAGAAAUUUGAGCUAAUACCGGAUGAUGACGUAAGUCCAAAGAUCUAUCGCCCAAGGAUGAGCCCGCGUAAGAUUAGCUAGUUGGUGGGGUAAAGGCCUACCAAGGCGACGAUCUUUAGCUGGUCUGAGAGGAUGAUCAGCCACACUGGGACUGAGACACGGCCCAGACUCCUACGGGAGGCAGCAGUGGGGAAUAUUGGACAAUGGGCGAAAGCCUGAUCCAGCAAUGCCGCGUGAGUGAUGAAGGCCUUAGGGUUGUAAAGCUCUUUCAGUGGGGAAGAUAAUGACUGUACCCACAGAAGAAGCCCCGGCUAACUCCGUG